GCAUCAACCCUAGCCAUGGCGACAUUGCUAGUUAGCUCCUGGGGGAGCUUGGCCUACUGUCCGACCUCACUCCCUUCCACCUAAAUUCUAACCUGUUGAAAAUUUGAAUGUGUGGGGGUGGAAGCAAUUGAUAGUUUUUGUGGUGGACAAGUGACAAGCUAAAAUAGUUGGAGAAUAUAGGUCAUGGGAUAGGGAAAAUUACCAAAAAGGUCCUAGACCUAUUGUAAUUAUGCCAAUUCAAUCCUAAACUUUUUUUUUUUGGCCAAUUUAGUCCUAAACCUUUUGUUUUUGUUCCAGUUCAGUCCAUCCGGCCAUGCAUAGUCGGAAAAAUCUGACGUGGCAUCCUAGUCAGUGCCGGUCGGCGUUGCUGAUGCUGACAUGGCACCGGAGAGCAAAACGUCGUCGUUUUGCUUUUAAAAAAAAAAGCCAAAGAGAAAAGGCAUAAGAGAAAAGGGCGUGAAGAGAAAAGGGCGUGGGGUUGGCUGGGUUCUUUCCCAAAAUCAAGUAGGGAACCUAAAUUGAGAGGAUCUUCCCUUGAUUCAUGGUGCCCGACAUUCAUUCUUGGUGGAUGCCUUUGUUCAACACCUCCGUCGAAACGCUUUGGGCCUCCGCUUGCCCAACGCCUCUGCUCACGCCUCCGUCCAGCCCCUUCCAGCAACGCUUGCCCAACGCCUCUAUUCGAGAGCCUACAUCCAAUCCUUCUGGCNNNNNNNNNNNNNNNNNNNNNNNNNNNNNNNNNNNNNNNNNNNNNNNNNNNNNNNNNNNNNNNNNNNNNNNNNNNNNNNNNNNNNNNNNNNNNNNNNNNNGACGCCUCCGUCCGACGCUCGGCUCACCCAACAUCUUCGUCCGACGCUCGCUCGACACCUACAUCCGACGCUUGCUUAGAUUCGCCUGCUUGCUUGACGCUCACUGAACGCCUUUGAUCAUUUUCUUGAAAUGCGGUGCUUUAUAUUUAUGUUGUCUUGAUUUCACUUGAAUUUUAUUUUAAAUUUCGUUGACAUGGGUUUGUCGCAGUAAUGGGUUUGUGGUUGUUGAACUGGAUGGUUGGGCAAAUUGCUGACAUGAGUUUAUGGAUGGUCUCACGUAGAAUGUCUCUAUCUUGCCUAGAAUGUUUGGCAUUGUUGCUGCUUUUGGCUCAUUUGGGAAGAAUAUAUUACUUUGAGUUGCUACUUUUGGCUCAUUUGGGAAGAAUAUAUUACUUUUGAGUUGUUGCCUUUGGUUCAGAUUGACAAAGUUUGUUAGGUAUAUGGAGUUCCUAAUAUACUUCUCGUUCAGAUUUUCCAAAGCUCGUCUAGAUCACCUAAAUCUCAUUGCAAUUGCAGCAAUUUUGGCCUGCCUAUGUUGUGGAUUUUAUAUUAUACUUGGAGGGAUUUUGUAUAUAUCAUCCAUGAGCACAUAUGUCAUAUGAUCUGAUCAUGUUUUGAAUUCAAUCUGCAUUAGCUCCUUCCAGUCCCAGAUGUCAUAUGAUCUGAUCAUGUUUUGAAUUCCCGAUACUGAUGCAGUCAUUCUUAUAAGAAGAUUGAGAGCACAAUUAUUCUUUUAUUGUUGGUAUCUGACUAUGCUUUUUGUUGUGCUGAUCAUGUCCACGCUGACUAAUGUUUUCAAUUGGUUGGCCGGCUCAACAAUAGUGCUGUCUCAUCAGCCGGUGCUAAGUUGGCAUUCAAGUCCAAUGAAGAAAUAGAACUUCAAGUAAGGUCCAUCCCACUAGACGAAGUGAUACUAGAGUUAGAACAGGUUCUUCUCGUCAAAAUAGAUGUUCAGGGCUGGGAGCAUCAUGUUUUGAAAGGGACCGUGAAGUUGUUGUCGAGAGAGGUAGGCAAGGCACCGUAUUUGAUAUAUGAGGAGGAUGAACGGUUGUUGCAGGCAAGUAACAGCAGUUCUAAAGAGAUUCGAGAAUUUCAUCACUCUGUUGGGUAUCGUCAUUGCACCCAGCAUGGUACAGACGCAAAUUGCACCAAGAACAGCUGAUAGUGGAUUAAUUUACCUUAGCCUUGUUGAUGUAAGAUCACCGAGUCAAGCAUGAAAAGGGACAAUUCUUUAACAGAGUUCUUUGUGAGAGUUUUGCCUACCUUAGACAGAACUUCCACUCAGUUCUAGAUGGAGAAUUAGAUUUGGAAUUGUAAUGAGACACACUGUCCAUUGAAGGAGCCAGUUAUUGAGCAAGUGAGGAAGCACAGAUACAUUAUGGUUUUCUCUUGGAGUAUAGUUAGGGUUGUAUAUGUCGCCAUUAGAUCUACCACACCCAAUUUGUUAUUAUGUUUAUUUAUUGCAAUUCAUGCUUUGUAUUUGUAGCAAAUGACCUUGUGAUUUGCGAGUGAAUGCAGAAUAAGUUGUUGACCAGAGCUUACAGAGGCAUAUUCAACACAUUUUCACUUGUAGUCUUGUUUUUCGUGUGAAUUUAUAUCUCCAUGAGAAUAAAGCAAUUUGACCACAUUUAGAAUGUACUCAUGGUAGUCUGGUUUGAUUGAAGUACGUAUAAAAGUUUGAUAGUUUCAGGGAUUUGUGAGUUUGUGUUUAUGCAUGAACAAGAGAGAACAAGAGGAUUCUCCAUUCUACCAAAAAUAAAUUCGUACAUGCUCCCAUACUUAAAAUUAAUCUAUCAAAUUUUGCACACACCUAGUUUAAAACCUCAUUAUCUUACUGAGCAAAUGAAAUUUGGCGUUCAAACCUGACACCUUAUUUUUUUCUUUAUUUCUUGCCCAACAACCCAUUUUGAAAUAAACUUGGCCAACUGUUCUUUUAUUUUUUUUUCUUUAAAGCUUUCGGAAAUAAAUUCGUAUGUGUUUUUGUACUCAAAAUUAUUCCAUCAAACUUUGCACACACCUAGUUUAAAACAUCAUUGUUUUAUUAAGCAAAUAAAUAUUUGCGUCCAAAUCCGAACCUCAUUUCUUUUUCUUUUUUUUUUAUUUCUUGCCCAACAACUCUUUUUGAAAUAAACUUGGCCAAACUUUUCUUUUUCUUUAAAGCUUUCGGAAAUAAAUUCGUAUAUGCUCCUCUACUCAAAAUUAUUCUAUCAAACUUUGCACGGAUCUAGUUUAAAACCUCAUUGUCUUAUUGAGCAAAUAAAUUUUUGCGUCCAAACCCAACACCUCAUUUUUAUUUUUAUUUUGCCCAACAACUCCUUUUGAAAUAAACUUGGCCAACUGUUCAUUUUUUUUUCCUUUAAAGUUUUUUUUUUUUGUGACCCAGGGGAACCCCACACAGCCGACAGCUGGGAGUAAACCCCUGGGGAGGCACGUAGGAAACCACCACCCAUGCACCCCGGGUAAGUCGCCAAGUGUCUCCACCUGCCUCCCUACCACUUGCGUCGCCAGGGCUUCGAACUCCGGCCUCCAGCGUGGAAGUCCAGAAGCCUACCAACAGAGCCACCCUUGCGGGUGGUAUUUUCCUUUAAAGUUUUUGGAAAUAAAUUCGUACAUGCUCCCGUACUCAAAAUUAUUCCAUCAAACUUUGCAUGGAUCUAGUUUAAAACCUCAUUAUCUUAUUGAGCAAAUAAAUUUUUGCGUCUAAACCCAACACCUCAUUUUUUUUUUUUUGCCCAACAACCCAUUUUGAAAUAAACUUAGCCAACAGUUUUUUUUUUCCUUUAAAGUUUUCGGAAAUAAAUUCGUACGUACUCCCGUACUCAAAAUUAUUCCAUCAAACUUUGCAUACACUUAAUUUAAAACCUCAUUGUCUUAUUGAGCAAAUAAUUUUUUGUGUCCAAACCCGGCACCUCAUUUUUUUUUUUUUGCGCAACCCCUUUUGAAAUAAACUUGGCCAACUGUUUUUUUUUUCUUUUAAAGCUUUCGGAAAUAAAUUUGUACGUGCUCCCGUACUCAAAAUUAUUCCAUCAAACUUUGUACGCACCUAGUUGAAAACCUCAUUGUCUUAUUGAGAAAAUAAAUUUUUGCGUCCAAACCCGACACCUCAUUUUUUCUUUAUUUAUUGCCCAACAACCCUUUUUAAAAUAAACUUGGCCAACUUUUUUUUUCUUUAAAACUUUCGGAAAUAAAUUCGUACAUACUCACGUACUCAAAAUUAUUCCAUCAAACUUUGCACGCGUCUAGUUUAAAACAUCAUUGUUUUAUUGAGCAAACAAAAUUUGACAUACAAACCUGACACUUCAUUUUUUUUUUUGCUAUUUCUUGCCCAACAACCCUUUUUAAAAUAAACUUGGCCAAUUGUUCUUUUUUUUUUUUGGUUAAUACCUUUAAAAACCCCAAACUGGUACACCUGUGACAAAUUUACCCAAAACUAUUUUUUUGGCUUCCAAAAACCCAAAACUUAUAUAUUUUUGACAAAUUUACCCCAAAUUGGUAUAAUUGUGACAAAUUUACCAUCCGUUAGUUUUUGUUAAAUUUUACAGUAAAAUUAUUAAGUUAGUGAAAGGUAUAUUUGUCACAAAUUUACUAAUUUGAGGUUUUUUGCGGUCGAAUAAAUUAGUUUGGGGAUAAAUUUGUCAUAAAUGUACCAGUUUAUGGUUUUUUUAUGGUUAGUCGGGGUAAAUUUGUCACAGGUAUACCAGUUUGAGAUUUUUCAUGGUCAAGAAAAUAGUUUGGGGUAAAUUUGUCACAUGUGUACCAGUUUGGGGAUUUUUUAGGGUAUUAACCCUUUUUUUUUCUUUAAAGCUUUCGAAAAUAAAUUCGUAUGUACUAUCGUAUUCAAAAUUAUUCCAUCAAAAUUUGCACGCACCUAGUUGAAAACCUCAUUGUCUUAUUGAGAAAAUAAAUUUUUGCGUCCAAAUCCGACACCUCAUUUUAUUUAUUUAUUUCUUGCCUAACAACCCUUUUUUAAAUAAACCUGGCCAACUUUUUUUUUUCUUUAAAGCUUUCGGAAAUAAAUUCGUAUGUGCUCCUGUACUCAAAAUUAUUCUAUCAAACUUUACACGGAUCUAGUUUAAAAUCUCAUUGUCUUAUUGAGCAAAUAAAUUUUUGCGUCCAAACCCAACACCUCAUUUUUGUUUUUUUUUGCUCAACAACCCAUUUUGAAAUAAACUUGGCCAACUGUUCUUUUUUUUUUUCUUUAAAGUUUUCGGAAAUAAAUUCGUACGUAUUCCCGUACUUAAAAUUAUUCCAUCAAACUUUUGCACACACCUAGUUUAAACCUCAUUGUCUUAUUGGAAAAAUAAUUUUUUGUGUCCAAACCCGACACCUCAUUUUUUUUUUAUUUCUUGCCCAACAACUCUUUUUGAAAUAAACUUGGCCAACUUUUUUUUUUCUGUAAAGCUUUCGGAAAUAAAUUCGUAUGUGCUCUCGUACUCAAAAUUAUUCCAUCAAAAUUUGCACGCACCUAGUUUAAAAUCUGAUUGUUUUAUUGAGCAAAUAAAAUUUGGCAUACAAAGCCAACACCUCAAUUUUUUUUUUUUUAUUUCUUGCCCAACAACUAUUUUUGAAAUAAACUUGGCUAACUUUUUUUUUUUUAAAAAGCUUUCAGAAAUAAAUUCGUACGUGCUCCUGUACUCAAAAUUAUUCCAUCAAACUUUGCACGCACCUAGUUUAAAACCUCAUUGUUUUAUUGAGCAAAUAAAAUUUGACAUCCAAACCUGACACUUCAUUUUUUUUUUUUUUUACCCAACAACCCUUUUAGAAAUAAAUUUGGCCAACUGGUCUUUUUUUUUUUCUUUAAAAUUUUCGGAAAUAAAUUCGUAUAUGCUCCCGUAUUCAAAAUUAUUCUAUCAAACUUUACACGCUCCUAGUUUAAAACCUCAUUGUCUUAUUGGGAAAAUAAAUUUUUGCGUCUAAACCCAAUACCUCAUUUUUUUUUUAUUUCUUGCCCAACAACCAUUUUUGAAAAAAACUUGGCCAACUUUUUUUUUAAAGCUUUCGGAAAUAAAUUCGUAUGUGCUCCGGUACUCAAAAUUAUUCCAUCAAACUUUGCACGCACCUAGUUUAAAAUCUUAUUGUUUUAUUGAGCAAAUAAAAUUUGGCAUCCAAACCCGACACUUCAUUUUUUUUUAUAUUUCUUGUCCAACAACCCUUUUCUAAAUAAAUUUGGCCAACUGUUCUUUUUUUUUUUCUUUAAAACUUUCGGAAAUAAAUUCGUACGUGCUCAGCUACAAGUUUUUUUGUUUUCUCGGGAUAAUGGUUUCGUUUUUUCUUUUUAAAUUGAAAUGGACUUUUAUGUGGGGCGCUCACAAUUGCACCACAUCCCAGAGAAGUACUAAUCCAUUAAGUAUGAAAAAAGCAAAUGAUAGCAUGCACAAUCUCAUUACUUCACGAACAAACACUAGCUAUACAUUAUUCAAGUAAAAAAUAGAUGAAUAAACCCAUUUUACUAUAAUAAGAUGGUCCAAAAGCACAUCAUCUCACUAAUCCCAACCGUUGUACAAAUGGCCAUAUAAGACAAAUCAAAAAGAUACAUCCACAACCCUACUUCAUUGAUGCCAUCAUCAAUGAAAAGAACAAAUUGAUCAAAACCACUUCACCGAACCCAUUAUCAUAAAAGAUAUUCCCAAAUGUUGUCACUUUUGUCUCUUCGAAUAACUUCUAACGCUUGUGCUCUUGACAUUAGUAGGAGGAUCCAUACUAGUAGAGCCACCAGCACUGCCACUUGCAUUUUUAUUUGUACGUUUCUGAACCUACAAAGAGUAUAUUCUUUUAAAGUAUUAUUGACAAAACAAACAUGACAUAAUAGAAAUGGAAGUACUAAUCAGAUUUUUUUGUCUUGAAAAUUGUGUUUGGGAAGAUGUAGACCUAAUCUUUUUAAUUGGACAAGUUGAACUAUUGUGUCCCGUCUUCAAGCAAGUUCGACAUGUCAUCUUCAUUCCUAUCCUCGACAUCCUAGUUCCACUUGCCACCUCACCUUCUUCUCUUGAUCUUUUCUGUUUACGUCUACCGCGCUUCACCCGGGAUGGAAGUGGUUCAGGCGACUCCCUAUGAGUCUUUUUUCCAAAAUCUCUCUCCUCGAAUUGGCAUCAUCAUGUUUUCAUACGCAUUUAAGAACUUGGCCUUCUUAUAACAUUUAUCAACAUAAUUGUAUGCAUCCUCUUGCCUAUGAUUUAUAGCAGAAAUUGCAUGAGGACAAGGGAUGCCAGUAAGUUGCCAUUUUCUACAAGAGCAAUCUUUCUUGAAUACAUCCACUACAUAUUUGUCACCUUUAUCAAUUACCUCAUAUCCAACAUCACCAUUUCAUAUCACUUGACAGUAUGUUGCACCAAUUCUAUUUUCUGCUAGUUUUUUUAUGAUUCUUGGACCACAAUUUCUUUUCCACUUAGCACAUGCAUCCCUCUGUCUAUGCAUCAUUGUCAUUAUCAUUAUCCGCAUUUCCUCCAACAUAUUAUAUAUGGACUUACACUUAGCAUGUAUAAUUUUUCCAUUGAAUGCUUCGCAUAAGAUUGUUACAUUUCACAUAAGUAUUAAAGAAAGCCUUACACCAGUGUUUUGGCUCUGUUUGCACCAGAUCAUGAUAUGCACAAGGACUAAUUUUCUUCGAUGCCUGAGAGUGUUCAUCAUACUCCGUCCUAGUAUUGCUCUUAGCACACUGCCAAAAUAGUCUUUGCAUUUGUAUUCUCUUAUGUUUCUUGCCUCAAUUAGCAUAGAUGUGUCUAGCACACAUCCUAUGCUCAGCUGCAGGCAGUAAAUCAGCCACGGCUCCUAUAAGGCCCUGCAAAAANNNNNNNNNNNNNNNNNNNNNNNNNNNNNNNNNNNNNNNNNNNNNNNNNNNNNNNNNNNNNNNNNNNNNNNNNNNNNNNNNNNNNNNNNNNNNNNNNNNNNNNNNNNNNNNNNNNNNNNNNNNNNNNNNNNNNNNNNNNNNNNNNNNNNNNNNNNNNNNNNNNNNNNNNNNNGUCGCUACUCUCAACUCUGACAACCGCCCAAGCAAUUGGGAACAUCUAAUCAUUUGCAUCCCUUCCAAUAGCACAUAAGAUCUGACAUUGACAAAUUCCUUUCAAGAAACAACCAUCUAACCCCACAACUUGCCUACAUCCACUAAGGAACCCUUUCUUACUAGCAGCAAAUCAAAUAUACAUUCUUUCAAACAAUGCCUUGGAGUGCAUAUCUGGCUUUUCAACCUUCAAUGUAACAGUACUCCCAAGAUUUUUCUCCCUAAGCUCCUCCGCAUAAUCCCACAGUUUUGCAUAUUCCUUCUUAUAGUUUCCCAUCAACACUUUAUAAGCAAACAACUUAGCCUUCGUACAUUGAGCUAUGCUUACAUCUAAACCUAAUUGUUCCUUGAUUAAUUCCUUGAAAGCAAUAGUUUUAAUAGUUGGCAUUGCUUUUAUUGUAGGAAGAUAAUGAUUUGCCAACCAAGAACUCGUCACCCUCCUAUUUUUGAAGCAAAUGCUACAAGCAUGCUCUGAAUGUAAGGUCUUGACAUGAAAUGAUCCAAAACGAGCAUCCACAGAGCCAGAAAUCUUCCAAGGACAACUCUCAUUAACACAUUUUGCUCUAACAAACUUCUUAUCAUUCUUUGUAAAUUUUAUCUCUAUACGUUUAAUCACUGAGUACUUUUUCAAAGCAUCUUUGAAUUGGCUACUACUAUCAAAUGUCAUAGCCACAGUAAACACAUGCACAUCACAAUUAGGAUUAUAUCUUGGAAACCUACUUCUCUUUCUAGUAAAAUCAUCUUCUCCCUCUACAUCAGACCCUAAACUGUCAUAGGCAUCUGUAUCAUAAUACUCCGUCUCGUAACCAACUUCAGCAUCAACUCCACUAUUCACAUCUAAUGGUUGAGAUGAUACUAAUACUGUGGAUGGUUCCCCUAUAAUCAAAUCCUUUGUAACCCUCCCACGAAACUCAAUUAUAUUCUGCCUUGCUUCUAGAAGUUCUUCAUUAUCAAUAUCAUCAUCAUCAGUCCAAAAUCUUACAUCGCCAAGAAAAUUUGUCUCAUCAUCAUUGUCGUCAUCCAGAAUAUCCCCCUCUAUGUCAAUAAAAUUACCUUCAUCAACUAAGUCAUUAGGAUCUAAGUCAUCCUCGUGCUCAAUAAUUGUCUCAUUUGCUAAACCAAUAUCAUUGCGAGCACCCACACUAAUCCCUUGACCAACACUCUCACUUGGGGAAGCAUCCUCACCCUCACCACCCCCGUGACCAAAACCCUCACUUGGACUAGCACCCUCACCCUCACCCUCACCCACACCCACACCCACACCAACCCCUUGACCAUCACCCUCAACUGCCUCAUCGAUUGCAAAAUUUUCUUCAUAUAUCUCAAUUAACUCAUGAUGCAAAUAACUUAAAAGUAAAUCAAUGACAUUGCUCUCAUUCCAUAUAUAUCUCAACCCAUCUUCUAGAGACUUUCCAGGAAACUUAAAAUAAAGUUUUUCAAAUUUACACUUUACCCCAUUCUCAAUAUCUCUAAUGAAGCUUUCAUAGCUCCUUGAACCGAUAUCAACUUUUACCAAAUCAAUCUUACCCCCAACAUAUUCAAGCAUUGGGCAAGGGUAAAAAUUUCCACCAUGGAAAAGGCAAGCCCAUGCCGACUUGUCGCUCAUCUCAACCCUAUACAAAAGAACGCAAUAAAUGUUGUAAGAAGCCACAUAAUGGAGAUUUUAACAUGAAUGGCCAAAAGUGCUAAAUAAAUAUAAAGAGUUUGACUUGAGCAUAAGUGCAAAAUCCUUCCCGUCUCAUAAUUACAAGUGAAAUUCCUCUCUAAUUUACAGGAAUUAACUAAUUCAAUUAAUAUCUAGUACCUAUGAUAUGAGAGUUCAAGGUGAAUAGUGGCAUAAAAUUAGUUUGCUUUCAAGUUAGAUAUUUGGUUUGUAUAGCUACUUGAAGCCAAUGCCAAAAAUCUUAGGGCUGAUAAAAGAAGUUUUUCUCCCAUAGUAGACGUGAUCUUGUUUUUUUUGCAACUAAUGAAGGAUAAAAAAGACCAUGAUGCUAGGUUCUUUGUAUACAGAUAUAGCAGGUCAAUGUAUUACAAGCAGCAUGGCUCACAAGGCUUUAAUUUUAGAAUGUUACUUCAUAUUAUCUCAAUUCUUUCCUACCAUCACUUCCAUGGAUAUCGUCUUUUGGCUUUUCAGGAUUUUUUACAAUAGUUUCAUUGUUUAGGCGGCUGAAGAGUGUACUUCUAUGCUUAAACUUUGAAGUUAAUUUGCUCAGAAUCACCGAUCUACUUUCAGUUUAAAACCAAACGGUUGGUUUGUUCAACGCACGCGAAGAAAUAAGAUAUUUUGGGAACAAGACAAAGACAAUCAUAGAGACAAAAUAAUUUGGGAACACGACAAAGACAAACAUGGAGACAAAACAUAGUUUAGGACCACGACAAUAUACCUUUUGAUAGAUUUUGAUUGACUUCACGACCACCCACCACGUAGCUCACCACUUGCCGACAACACAAUCAAAUUGGGACCACCUCAUUUGCUUGUGUUUGCUGGAUGAACGAAUCAGGUCAAGUUGUGCGCGAAUCGAGUCUUCGGGUCUUCGGGUCUCUCGUCUUCUCAAUUGUAGCAACGAACAAAUUGGGUCAAGUUGUGGCUGAAUCAGGUCUUUGGGUCUUCAGGUGUUCUCGAUUCGGGCAAGAAGCGACGAACAAUGGCGUUGGCCAAAAAGGGGCUUGAUUCAUGAAGGAUAUUGAGGAAAUCACAAUAUGAGAUCAAAUCAGCUCAAAAUCUACAAGAAUUUCGGAGGAGAUCUCACUAGGGUUUUUUAGAUGAUUUUGGAAAGAAGCAAGGAGCAGCCGCACGACUUUUCUCUUCUGCCUUUUCUCUUUGGCUUUUAUUUUUUAAAAAAGUAAAACGACGACGUUUUGCUCUCCGGUGCCAUGUCAGCGUCGGCAACGCCGACCGGUGCUGACUAGGAUGCCACAUCAGAUUUUUCCGACUAUGCAUGGCCGGAUGGACUGAACUGGAACAAAACCAAAAUGUUUAGGACUAAAUUGGCCAAAAAAAAAAAAAGAGUUUAUGACUGAAUUGGCAUAAUUGCAAUAGGUUUAGGACUUUUUUGGUAAUAUUCCCUCAUGGGAUAUGGAGAAAACAGUCUCAUUAGAUGGACAAAACUAAACUAAUUCUGAUGGAGGUGGUGGUGGUGGAGGAGUAUAAGGACAUGGAGUUUAUAAGCUCACUCCCCACACAUUACAUGAAUGAUUCUAAGUUCUAUUUAUAGAGCAACUCCACCAACUUUAGAGGCAUCCGCCGAUUCAUAUUCUUACCCACUAAGCAUACUUGUUUUACAAGAAUUAUAUUUUGAAGCCACUUCCUUUGACCGACUUUCCUUGUUCACACUAUCUGACAAUAAGAGGGUCUUCUUGGCUAAUUUGACCACCACCUAGAAUUUUACAACUGGCUGUUCUUGCAUCUCACCAUCAUCACUUCUUUAGCAGCUAUUCUUGACUUUUUUUUCGUAAUUCAAGCAAGUGCAAAAUCCAAGCAUUUAUGAGUUUGGAUAUGUAAUUUUCAUGAGGCAUUUUUGGCCAAGCAAAGGGUUUAGUUGGGAGGAAAUUAAGGCGGAAAUUGCACUUGUGGCUUGCUCGUUGCGCCUCAGCAGCUAUUCUUGACUUAUUUUCAAGGUUUCCCAAGUCUUCUUCAACUUGGUUAUGCUUACUGUUUCUUUUGCUGAUGCUUGCUUGCAUUCCCACGCGAGUCUUCUAGGUUCAGUUAACCACCACCAUUCUCAACAAUUCUAGACAAUCUUCAACAUGGAUGGUGCUGCCAACGUUCUUGCCUUCUUGAUUAACUCGGUAGUUUUUAGAUAAUUUAGAAAAAAUAGAUCACAAUUUCCAACAUAACUAAUUCCGCAGCACCAUGUCGUGGAAGUUCUAGAGUCUGAAGCAGCUCUUUAAGCUGGAUAUAAGCAACAACUAGUUUCGCCGGGAAAUUUCCAAAGGUCGCACUGGAGCACCUAGCGCUAAACUUCUUAGACCUCUGUUUCAACGAGUUUAAGCUCUUUGACAGAGAUUUGGAAACCUUUUUCAUCGAUGAAAACCAAUCUUGUCUUAUGCCACGAGUAAAACGUUAGGAACACCCUAUGAGGAGCUUCACCACAUUUGCUGGGGAAUUUUUCGAUUAGGGUUUCUUUAAAAGGCAAAGGGAAGAAGAUGAAUAAUAUAGGUGAAGGAAAGAUCGAAAACAGAAGAAGAUAAAAGACAAAAGAAAGAAAAAGAGAAAAAAAAUUGAGAAAAUAGACUCAAUACUAUGUCAUUUUGUUAAGGUAGUCUACAUUAGACGUCAUUAGUAAUACCUAAAACCGUCAAUGCUGGCGAGUCCACAGUAAUAUUUUUAGACAAUAAUUUAUCGGAAUGAUUUCAUUUGAAAAUUAUCAUAAGAUUUAAGAUUGCAUUGACAAAUUUAAAAGUUUGGAGUUUAAUUGUGAGUCACACAAUAAAUUUAGGAUUUUUAGGUGAAAUUAUCUCAUAUAUUUCUAAAUUUGAUAAAAUUAUGCCAAGAUUGAGGUCUAUUAUACCAUGGACAUGUAGCACCAUUCUGAAAAUUGUUGAAUAUAACGACAUACAAGAAAUAAAAAGAAGGUAAUGGGAUAUUUAGAUAAUUAAAUAGAAAUUAAAAAAUGGAUUAGUUGAGAGGAUGAGAGUAUUAUUUAUGGGGCAAUCACUCUUUUGUGGAGCCUUCUAAAAGCUAGCGUCUUGAUUUGAUUGAAUUACAAAAGAGAAAAUUAUAAUAGUCAGAUGUUUAAUGGAAUUUUUUUUUUUUUAAAGGAGUGAUUGAGACUUACCAAGAGAGUAUGAUUGAAGUGUACUCUCUUUUCUGUGGAGUCUUCAAAAAGUCGAAGAUCUAGCAUUCAUAUAUGAGAUUUCUACGGGCACGUGUCUCUCCAUACAUUUAUCAUCCUCGUUUACUCUCUUUCAAUAUUUAUAUACUUUCUCUAUCCAUACCAUUUUUCUUUCGAGCAAACUUAUCAAGAUGGUAAUUGUAUUUUUUUUUUUUUUUACUUAUAUGUAUGUUGUAUGCAUAAUUCGUUUCAAUUACCAAGUCAACUCCGCACCUUCGCAAAGUGUUUGUAAUGUGAAGACUAAGAGUUGAACCCUAUGCCAUGAGUAUGCUUGGAUCUUGUCCUCUUCACGUGAAUAUAUAGAGAUGCACACAUUCGAAUACGUGUUCAUAUCAUCUAAUCUCAUAUUACAUGUUAGAGAGAUGAGAUUAGUCAUAUAGUAAUGACGGAGGAUGAAAUGUAAUGUUUUGAGACCAUAUUUUCCUCUAUUGAAUUUUGGAUUGACGGACUUAUGCACAUUUACAAGCUUGAUGAGAGGAUAAGAGAAAUGAAGGCUCAAGUGCAUCCAACAUUUACAAGCACAUCAAACCAAAGCUAUUGUCAAUUAAAUCCGGUUCAGAAUGAAAAUGAUCAAGAUCGGCUGGAAAACUUAAACGUAGCAUCAAUUGAACAAGUGCAAAUACAAAAGAUUUUUUUUCACACCCAAACGCGCACGCGCGCGCGCACACACAUAUAUAUAGAGGUUCUGGGUAAUUUAAAGAGAGAACCCAAGCCAUUAUUAAGUAUUUUUAUAUAAUAACUCUUUGGAGGGAUUUCCCCAGCCAACUUUGACGACCCUCUCUUUCGAUUUUAUCUUUCUUGCUCGGGGCACCCUUUUCAAACUUUGCUUUUCGCUAACCCCUCAUGGUUUGGCCCACCCAAGUGCUCUUCAUCACCCGCGGUUGUUUUCCAUUUCUACAUAAGAUAGUAUACAAAACCACAUAUAAUAACUAUAUUAUAAAAGACAAAGCCACAACCUUAUAAUUUGUGCGUGUCUAUGUAUGUAUCUAUGUAUGUUUGUGUGUGUGUGUGUGUGUGUGUUUAAAUGUAUAAGUGCUCUUCAUCACUUGUUCUUGUUUUACAUUUCUAAAUCAAAUAAUAUACAAAAACGGCCACUUGUAAAUUCACACCCGCACACCAAAAUCACCCCCCCCCCUCCUUUUUUCCCCGACAAAAAAAGUUGUCUUCAUCACUUGGGGUUGUUCUUCAUUCUGCUUGUGUGUGUGUGUGUGUGUGUGUGUGUGACGUGUGUAUAGGGUGAAGGAAUUCAGGUUUUUAAGCUUUACUUAAGCUAAGAGAUCCCUUUUUUAGUACGGGCAAUGCCCAGAUUUUCUCUAAUUAAACGACAAACAUCCACAACACCUCUCUUAGAUGAGUUGUGAAUUUACUUACGUUUAUGACUAAGCUUUUUAAAAACAAAAUUAAGAUACUCCCAUAUGCCAGGAUCAGAAAGCGUUCUCCAUUUCAAUUUACACGUAACUGAGGAAGGGCAGCUUUUAUAGGGGAAAAUUGUCCAAAAAAAUCAUAAACUUAUUACACUUUUAUCAAUUCAGUCAUAAAUUUUUUAACUUUGCAAAUUCAUUCAUAAACAUUUUCACUUUUUGCCAAUUAAGUUCAUUCAUCCAAUUUUUGCUAAAAAAUGAUGACAUGGACACCGGUAGCAUCACGUAGGACCACCGGCAUUAAUGUGAAUAAUUUUUAAUAAUAUUUUUUUUGAAUUUUUAUUAUUUUUUCUGUUUUCUUUUCUUUUCUUUUGUGGCUUUAUUCUUUGCCUCUUUCGGUGGCCAGCCGGCCAUAGCCAGCCGAUUGGCCUCACCCGCCUAGGCGAGGCCCAACCAGGCAAAGGCAAGCCUCGACGAGGGGAGCCCUCACCCAAGCACGGCCCGGCAAGGGUCGUCUAGGCGAGGCCAACCUGCGCCUAGGCCAGGGCGGCCUCGCUGGGUGAUGGCGACGCCAAGUGAGGUCGCCCUGGCCUAGGUGAGGGCUGGCCUAGCCAGAUCUGGUUUGGGCACAAGUCGGCCUUGCCCAAGUAACCCUUGCUUGACCGCACUUGGGCUAGGGCUCCCCUUGUUGAGGCUCACCUUCGCCCAGCCGGUCCUUGCCUGUGGUGGACGAGACCAGCUGGCUAAUUGUGGUCGGUGACCAGUCAUCCCUUGUGGCCAGUUGGCCACUAGAAAAGGCAAAGAAGAAAGCCAAAAAAAAAGAAGGAAAAAUUCAAAAAAAAUUAAAAAAGUAAAAAAUUAUUAAAAAUUAUUUACGUUAAUGCCCACAGUCUUACAUGGUACUGCUGGCAUCCAUGUCAGUAGUUUCCGGCCAAAAUUGGCUGGAUAAACUCAAUUGGCAAGAAGUAAAAAUGUUUAAGACUGAAUUGAUAAAGUUAAAAUGUUUAUGACUGAAUUGACAAAAGUGCAAUAUAUUUAUGACUUUUUGGAUAAUUUUCCCGCUUCUAUAGUCCCCCAGAAAAUGGAUUUUCGUGUGGUAACUUUUGGUAAUUCUCCAUAAUUCUAUAAAUACCAUAACAUACAUAAACUUGAAAUUAUUUUACAAUCCAUAGAACAAGAUUUACACUUCUUUUUUUCAAUAUUGAGAGGUGGUCAUCCGUUCUCCCAGUCCUAAACUCGAAGAGGAGCAUAUAAGGGGCAUGGGAAAAUCGAGCGAAAUUAGGUUUGGAAUCUCGGUUCCUUUAAAUAUGCGGUCCCCCCCACGUCUUGUGGACGUGCUUGGCCAACUAGUCUGUCGUUUCUUCUAUGGGUCACCACCAUCAUUUUGUUGGGGGUUCGGAAUUCGCCUCCUCUCCCCGGUCAGCACCAUCAUUUUCAACCCCAUGGGAGUUCGGAAUUCACCUCCUCUCGCCGGUCACCACCAUCAUUUUCAAUCUCUCGGGAGUUCGGAAUCCACCUACUAUCCCCGGUCACCACCAUCCCUCCCUCCUUCCCUCUCUUCCUCAGCGUCACUUCGAUCGCCAGGGAAUUAGGAAUUCACCUCUCUCCCCACAACCAUCGCUCCCUCCUUCCCUCUCUUUUCUCAGCGUUUGAAACCCGGCGCAUCGCCACGACAGAAGCCAAGGUACCCUUCGUUCAAGCACGCGCAGGGUUAACGCAGAACUGUCCUCCUAGGCCAUUCAAGGCCUCUCAUGAGUCGCACCACUACUGGCGCACUCGUUCUCUUACCCAAGUUCAUUGCCACCCAACUCCUUCCCUUUUCCUCUCCUUCCAUCCCUGCAUAAUCCUCCGCCUCCGUUUCUAUCAUCCUGCCACCACCAACCUUUGAGACAUCCCAGAGCUCAGCUUCUGGCGUAUGCACAACUUAGCAGCAGUGUUGCUGGUGAUUAGCUUUCCAAAGGGCUUUCAAUCUUCUUUUCUUGUUCUUAUUCAGGUUCGAGGGAAAAAAAGGGUCUAAAACUGUAGCUGGAAAUUUCAGACCCCCCAUACUGAUCUCACCCUUCACCUUGCUCUCUCCAUCAGUUUCGUUCCUUUAUGUGCGUCGAAGCUAAUCUAAGACCAGCUCAAGCACACAAGUCCACGAGAGAUUAAGGGCCCAAGAGAAAGAAAAUUAUGGUUCAGAUUAUCAACAAGGUAUUGGUGCUACUGAUCGGGAAUGUGGAAAGACUGGAAGAACUUAAACUUGGGGAUCACAUCUACACUUAUAGGCGAUAUGGCUUAUACAGCCAUCAUGGUUAGUGGUUCAUCUUCCUCUUCUUCCUUUUCCAUUAUCGUUCUUGUGACAUGGAUACCUGAAUAUGUUGCUCAACUAAAUUAUCUUUUCUUAUCUUUUAUUGUUGGCCUAAGAACAGAAGUUGUAUCUGCUUGAGUGUUCAUUUCAGGGAUCAUCAAAUCUUGCCAUUCCAGGUUCUUGCUCCGAUUUAACAUUCGAUAACAUUUGCAUGUAAGAAACAAUUGAUGUUGAAUUUAGUUCUCCUUCAACGGUUGCCUUCUUUUCAUUUGAAGGGCUGUUCAAGCGGCUGAUCUUAAUCACACAUGGAUUUCCAAAAGAAACAAGUCAACAAACGAUGAACAAUUCACAAAAAAGAAAAUGAUAACGAUAAUCUUGUAAACCCUAAUUGCUUGGUAACCUUGGAGAGAAACUCCCUGACACUCGAUAACAUUUGCACAGUAAGAGACGAUAGAUGUUGAAUUUGAUUCUCCUCAUCUGUUGCCUUGUUGUUAUUUUAAGAGCUGUUCAUAUAGCUAAUUUUAAUCACACAUGGAUUUCCAAAAGAAAUAAGUCAACAAACAAUGAACAGUUCACAGAAAAGAAAAUGAUAACAAUAAUCUUGUAAACUCUAAUUGCUUGGUGACUAGAGAGAGAGAAACUCUAUAACAAGCCAGUAAAAGUCACUCUUUGGGGUUAACACGCUACCGAUCUACCCAGAAUGAUUGAAACGCCCCCAAAGAAAGAAAAGUCUACAGGCCCCUUAAAUCCCAAAGAGCUACCCUUACAUUCGGCCACAGACAUCAACUUAUUUCUUUAUUUGCUUAACCAAAAGAAUCAACCAUCAAAGUUCUUUUGUCUGAUAGGAAGCACUAUCUCAUGGACAUAAACACGGUCUUACAUAAUUAAACAUAUUAGAUCAUAGAGAUCAUUUCACUUGAAAAUAGAAUGAAGUAUAAUUUAUGCUAGAUAUAGCCAUAUAAGAGAUAGUAUUCACAUGGUAAACCAUUUUUAAUAAAAAUAAAUAGAUGCUGGCCGGGCCAUUGGAUAAAUCUCAUCGGCAUGAGAAGGGACACGCCCACAACUAACGGUUUUUAGCAUUUCAUGUCAUUCAAGGUUGGACUAAGAUAAAACUCCGAUAUCAAAUCCGGGAGAGUACGAAGACGUGAUAGGGCGUUUGUUUUCUUUUGCCGAACUCAUAAUGAGACUAUUCAGCAUUUUCAUGCAUACUUUAUUUUGUCAACUUUUAGCAGAAAUUUUCCAUGACCCUCAUACCACUCCUCCCUGUCUCUCCCGUGACACGACUCUCCUAUUUCUUUCUUCUUCAUCAUCUUUUCUCGUUCGGUCGUCACUCUUUCUGAAAAUUUUCCUUCACAUUCUUAUGUAGUCUAAAUUAGUCGGUGUAGAAAACGUACCUCAAUUAGAUCACUUAAAAUAUUGACACUUGUGAUUUUUCAUGAUCGAAGUUUAAUCUCUCUUAGUCCUUGAGUCUCCAACACAAAGAUCUAACAUCACGCACAUAGCAAAUUGCAGAUCUCAUUGUGGUAAUCUACUGUUGCUCAAUCCACAUUUUAAUCCAUCCAAACUUAUAAAAUAUGAUUCACUUGUGACAAUCCUCUCUCACUCAUGGUUCCGCAUCUAUUCACUUUCCAAAUUGUGUAAACUCGUUGAACUAGAUGGGCCGCCAGUGAGAUCCAAGGGAUCCAAUGUAUGAUAUGCUAUGGACUCAUGUGUGUCGGGAGUAUGUAAGUAUUGCUCUUUUAAGUUCUUCCAAUUCAAUGGAGUUGGGUCGUUAAUAUUAAUAAGUAAUUUAUAUGUAAUAUGGAUUGUUUCUGAAAUUAAAAUGUUUAUAGCUAAUACGUCAUUUUUUAACAGCCUAUGAUAGUUAUGAUGCGAUGUCGUGAUUCCACGAAGUUUGGAAUUAAAGAGUGAAAAUGUUCGUGGAUUCUCAAGUGCCGCAACUUCUGAUUUCUGACUUUUUCAUCUGGGAUAAUCAGAAGUUGGCCAUCGGUAAACCAGUGUACUUCCAAAUUGAGUAACCAUCUCCGCUCAAAAGCUGUCCAAAGAGCGAAAUGAUAGCAUAUUGAGCAAGAUCGGAGGAGAAAUUUGAAUAUGUGGAGAGAAUGAUUUGGAAAGAGUAAUGACCCGAAGAUCUGAAACUCAUUUGACUAUCUGGGACAAUUGAUGAUUUGUUGUAGGACCAGCAUUCAGUUAAGUGUGCGAACGACAAUGUCUACCGCUCCCAAUGGUAGAAUCAAGGAUGGCGGAGGAUGGAUUGAUUGAAGAAGUUGGUUACUAUAUAUAACACGUAAUUCAGGCUACACUUGUUAUGCAACAAAUAUUUUGCUAGAAAAUAUUUUCCGACGUAUGGAUUGCUUAGGAAAAUGAUUCAACGGAAUAUCUUUCCAUAGUCAAUGAAAAACCCAUACUUAAUAAUAAUAAUAAUAAUAAUAAUAAUAAUAAUAAUAAUAAUAAUAAUUUCCUUAUCUAUGAAUUAAUAAUUUCCUUAUCUAUGAAUUAAUAAUUUUUUUUAUAUUGACUCUCGACGCUUGAUAAUAUGAUCUCAGAACUUUAGUAAAAUGUGUAUUAAUAUGAUAUAUGUUCAAUUUAGUCAUCGAACUAUAUAAAAAUGUUCAAUAUUGUGCUUCUAUUAAUUCAAGUUCAAAAACAGCGUUGAACAUUUUCAGGGAAAAUUGUCCAAAAAUCUUAAACCUAUUGUAUUUUUGUCAAUUCAGUUUUGAACUUUUUAUUUUUCCAAUUGGUUGGAAUUGAAUAUAACAUUUACUUGAUAUCAAAGAGUGGAGUUGCAUUCAUGGUAAAUUAUUCAAUUUCAAUUCCCCAGUUGCGAGGGAUCCGGGAUUUAUUAUGUGUCCAAGAUUACAUGAUAAAAAAUCAUGGUUUCUAGAAUCAUCGCAUCAUUGUAUAAUAUUCAACGACAAAGACGGUCCGACGCCCCAUGAUUCACCCAACUCAAUGCCGUACGUAACUUUUCAGUUAGCACCUUCCAUUUAAAAUAUCCCUUAAAUUAAUUCUAACGCCUCUCACCAAGAGAAAGAUUCCCAUUUCGCCCCUUCCAUGCAGCUUCCCUCGUGUCCUCUAUAAAUUAUGGUUUGCGACCGUCUCUCCAAUUCCAGGCAAUUCUAGAGAGAACUGAGAAUGGUGAAGUCUUCCAAAGCAGUUAUCUCCUUUUUUUGUUAACCCUCCUGUUGUUCUCCGACAUGUCUCGAGCUGCUCGGCCGGCACCGGCUGGAGCCGAUGUGGCAAGAACUCGACCCGAGGUAGGUUGUCUCCUGUUUCCCGAAAACAAAAAACCGUGUUGCUAGGCACUUCAAGACUUCUCAUGAGUCGCACCACUACCGGCGCACUCGUAGUCUUACCCAAGUUCAUUGCCAUCCAACUCCCACCCCUUUCCUCUCCUCCCAUCCCUGCAUAAUCUUCCGCCUCCACCGUUUCCAUCAUCCUGCCGCCAUCAACCUUUUGAGACAUCCCGAAGCUCAGCUUCUGGCGUACGCACAACUUAGCAGCAGUGUUGCUGGUGGUUAGCUUUCCAAAGGGCUUUCAAUCUUCUUUUCUUGUUCUUAUUCAGGUUCAAGGAAAAAAAAAGGGUCUACAACUGUAGCUGGAAAUUUCAGACCCCCCAUACUGAUCUCACCCUUCACUUUGUUCUUUCCAUCAGUUUCGUUCCUUUAUGUGCGUCGAAGCUAAUCUAAGACCAGCUCAAGCACACAAGUCCAAGAGAGAGACUAAGGGCCCAAGAGAGAGAAAAUUAUGCCUCAGAUUAGCAACAAGGUAUUGGUGCUACUGACCGGGAAUGUGGAAAGACUGGAAGAACUUAAACCUGGGGACCACAUCUAUACUUAUAGGCGAUAUGGCUUAUACAGCCAUCAUGGUUAGUGGUUCAUCUUCCUCUUCUUCCUUUCCCAUUAUCGUUCUCGUGACAUGGAUAUUUGAAUAUGUGGCUCAACUAAAUUAUCUUUUCUUAUCUUUCAUUGUUGGCCUAAGAACAGUAGUUGUAUCUGCUUGAGUGAUCAUUUCAGGGUUCAUCAGAUCUCACCAUUCUAGGUUCCUGCUCUAAGUUAACAUUCGAUAACAUUUGCACUGUAAGAAACAAUUGAUGUUGAAUUUAGUUCUCCUUCAACAGUAACCUUCUUUUCAUUUGAAGGGCUGUUCAGGCGGCUGAUUUUAAUCACACAUGGGUUGCAAAAAGAAACAAGUCAACAAACAAAAUGGGCUACAAUAGAGAUUAAACUUUGAUGGUUGAUUCUUUCGGUUAAGCAAAUAAAGAAAUAAGUUGAUGUAUGUGGCUGAAUGUAAGGGUGGCUCCUUGGGAUUUAAGGGGCCUGUAGACUUUUCUUUCUUCGGGAGCGUUUCAAUCAUUCUGGGUAGAUUGGUAGCGUGUUAACCCCGAAGAGUGACUAUUACUGGCUUGUUAUAGAGUUUCUCUCUCUAGUCACCAAGCAAUUAGAGUUUACAAGACCAUUGUUAUCAUUUUCUUUUCUGUGAACUGUUCAUUGUUUGUUGACUUAUUUCUUUUGGAAAUCCAUGUGUGAUUAAAAUUAGCUAUAUGAACAGCUCUUAAAAUGACAACAAGGCAACAGAUGAGGAGUAUCAAAUUCCACAUCUAUCGUCUCUUACUGUGCAAAUGUUAUCGAGUGUCAAGGAGUUUCUCUCCAAGGUUACCAAGCAAUUAGGGUUUACAAGAUUACCGUUAUCAUUUUCUUUUUUGUGAAUUGUUCAUUGUUUGUUGACUUGUUUAUUUUGGAAAUCCAUGUGUGAUUAAGAUCAGCCGCCUGAACAGCCCUUCAAAUGAAAAGAAGGCAACCGUUGAAGGAGAACUAAAUUCUGAAUGAAUUCCUCACAUUCAGAUCACUUCACUUUGUUGCAUUUACCAGAUACAUUCUUUUGGUAUCCGAGAAACAAUCAGAAAAACAAGACAAAGCGGAGUCACACUACUAGACUAUCAAAAAGAGUUUGUUCCACAAGUGCACAACUCCUUCCUUCUCGGUGAUCUCUCUCUUCACAAUGUUGUCGUCAUUUUUGGCCAUCGUGGUAAUUUAUUUUAAAACAUGAAAUAAGUGGCCUAGUUUUUCUUCACGGCGAUCUCUCUCUCUCUCUCUCUCGACAACAGGAGUUCCAAUUAUAAAACAUGAAACGAUGACCGAUCAUUUUACCGCAUUUGAUAUUGUUGGAUUCGGUCUUUUUUAGGAGUGUUAGGGAUAGGAUGCAUCAUUCCUCGCGACGGUAUCUGUGAUUAGACAGCACUUUGAGGCUUUCCUAUGACUUGUGACAGUUAUUGAGGGAUGUCCUUUUUUUCCGGAGAAGUUAUUAUGCCGGGAUCCAAAAGUUAUCCAGCAUACGUGGGGGAAUGUUAAUUGGUAAUGAUGCGAAACUUUCAAAAUCAGAUCUCGACCACCUAUAUUCGAUGAUGUUUGGGCCCAUCAGGAUGUCUUUUGUAGUUUAUGAAUCCCUGAAUAGGUAAACAUCGUUCUAAACUAAUUUCAUAAGUAUUCUAUAUGGUAUAUAACAUUUUCCUCUUCGAUGGCUGGUUCAUAUAGUCACUUGUUUAAUUAGCCUACAAGAACAGGGAAGGAAGAACUUGCCCCGGAAGGUUUAUGAUGGGGCCACAAUUAUUUCGUGACAAAAGGUCGGGUUUUUUUGUUUUUUUCCUAGCCUCAAAUGCGGCUUGCCUUACUGUGUGAUUAAGGCGUCAGCCCUAGAAUCCUUGGGGAGUUUUUGGGUGGUGACUUGAGCAUUGAGCAGGCUUGAGCCGCUCAGCAACAUUCUUAAGCUCAAAGAACAUGGCCGGUUCCAGCCAAACCAUGGCGGCUUCGGCUUACUUUCUCUUUCUCACACAGCCACACACACACAAUCAACAUGGGAGACUUUGAACUUUAGGCAUGGACGGGUUAGUUCUGUCGAAACAUCUCGCAUCACUUAACAAUAGGGUUUGUAUGCUCUUUAUAUACAGCCGGCCUCCUUCCACCUGUUAACUUAAACUUUUAGAUUAUACCUUCUAAUAUGAUAUCAGAAUCUAGGGAUAAGACCCAUGUUAAUUAAAUUCCACGUACCACUCCUAAUCUAGUUUGCAUGCAAGAGGUGGUGUAUUCAUAUGUUCUUUAUAUACAUUCUCUCUUUAAGUUGGACUUUCUCAAAGAGUUCAACGUGAGCCAUCAAGCAAAUCCAUAAGCCAACCUAGUUCAUACCCAAGUUCUUUGCGGCCCAGUUGACACUUGGACUAACUAACGACGAAAGUGAGAAAUGCGGCACACAAAACAAAUGUGUGAACGAUUCCCAUCAAAUCCAUUAACAUGAAAAAUUAUUAGCUCUACAACUCAACUAACUUUCCCUUCUGCAGUAAUUGUCUUUCUUUGCUCUGCAAAGUUACAAAAUCUAUGAGUCUCCAUAUUAGUAUCGCACAAAGCAAUUAUUGUCGAAGUUUGUCAAAGAAAUGCCGCGCCGGAUUCAUAUUGAGAAAAAGAAUGCAAUGUUUCUUCAAGAUUUCAACGAUGCCUUGUCUGGACGGUUCGGCGACAUCCAAACCAUUCACCUGCCAAUUCACAAAGCCCAUCAUAUACUCGGGCGCUGCAUAACCAUAAGUUCUAAUAACCUGCGUCAUAUGUGAUACGUCUUCAUCCAGACCUUUUUUUGCCAAAAUCUAUGAAAUUGCUAUAUGUGUUUUAACUUCGUUGAGAUCCCUAGGAUUAUUUUUUUAAAGACCACCAUUUCCAUAAUUCAUCCUAUGAUCUUUCCAUGGUAGGGUUUUGCUCUCUAGACUUUAGAAUCUUUGUGAGGAUCUGAUCCUUGAGGUUACGCACUUUGACUUAUUAUUACAAGAAAUGGGUGCAUGUAGGAGCCAAAUUGAGUAAACUCGUUGAACUAGAUGGGCCGCCAGUGAGAUCUAAGUGAUCCAAUGGAUGAUAUGCUAUGGACUCAUGUGUGUCGGGACUAUGUAAGUAUUGCUCUUUUAAGUUGUUCCGAUUCAAUCGAAGUUGGGACCUUAAUAUUAAUAAGUAAUCUAUAAGUAAUAUGGAUUGUUUCUGUAAUUAAAAUGUUUAUAGCUAAUACGUCAUUUUUGAACAGCCGAUGAUAGUUAUGAUGCGAUGUCGUGAUUCCACGAAGUUUGGAAUUAAAGAGUGAAAAUGUUCGUGGAUGCUCACGUGCCGCAACUUCUGACUUUUUCAUCUGGGAUAAUCAGAAGUUGGCCAUAGGUAAACCAGUGUACUUCCUAAAUCUGAUUCAUUCUAACCUAGCAGAAAGUGUAUUCUUUUUAAGAUACCUGUUAAACUAACCAUCUCCGCUCAAAAGCGGUCCAAAUAGCGAAAUGAUAGCAUAUUGAGCAAGAUCUGAGGAGAAAUUUGAAUAUGUGGAGAGAAUGAUUUGGAAAGAGUAAUGACCCGAAGAUCUGAAACUCAUCUGACUAUCUGGGACAACUGACGAUUUGUUGUAGGACCAGCAUUCAGUUAAGUGUGCGAACGACAAUGUCUACCGCUCCCGAUGGUAGAAUCAAGGAUAGCGGAGGAUGGAUUGAUUGAAGAAGUUGGUUACUAUAUAUAACACGUAAUUCAGGCUAUACUUGUUAUGCAACAAAUAUUUUCCUAGAAAACAUUUUCCGACGUAUGGAUUGCUUAGUAAAAUGAUAACACAGAAUAUCUUUCCAUAGUCAAUGAAAACCCAUACUUAAAUUCAAGAAAAAUAAUUUCAUUUUCUAUGAAUCAAUAAUCAUUUUUUAUAUUGACUAGGCAUCGACUCUUGGACCAAAGACUUGAAAAUAUGGUCUCUGAACUUUAGUUAAAUGUGCAAUGUUAUCCUUGAAUUUUUAAUUUUUUUAAAUAUGAUCCUUGAACUUUUGGUACAUGUUCAAUUUAAUCCUUGAACUAUAUGAAAAUUUUCAAUAUUAUCCUUCCAUUAAUUCAAGUUUAGAAACAACAUUGAACAUUUUUUAGGGAAAAUUGUUCAAAAAGUCCUAAACCUAUUGUACUUUUGACAAUUUAAUCCUAAACCUUUUAUUUUGCCAAUUGGUCGCAAUUUACUAACAUGAAUAUUGGUCAUCCUAUGUGGCAUAGUGGGCGUUGAUGUACAAAAAAAAUAUUAUUUUUAAAAUAAUAUUUUUUCGAAUUUUUUAGAACAUUUUUAAAAAAAUUUGUUAACUUUUUAUCCCUCUCUCUUCUUCCUCUACCAGUCACCUAGCCUCAGGCGACCAGCUAGAGGUUAUGACUAGUGAGGGUUGGCCUCACUGGGAUCUAGUGAGGGGCAACCUCAUGGGCCUUGGGCAAGGCUUGCUUUUCGUGCGGCUGACCCUCACUCUCACUCAAAGAAGGCGAGGGGCGACCUUGCUAGAUUCAGCGAGGGUGAGCCUUGCUUAAGGCCUACGAGGUCGUCCAUCACCAAAUUUAGUUCCUAGCGAGCCGACCAUCACUAGUUGCAACCUCCGGUCGAUCGCCAGAGGCUGGGCGACUGAUAGAGGAAGGAGAGAGAAGGAAAAAAAUUUAAAAAAUUCGAAAUAAUAUUUAUAACCAUAAUAAAUUUUGUUCACGUCAUCGUUAGCUGUUCCAAGCCGGUUGGAAGUGCAGAUUUCGAUGCCGGAAAAUUCAGGGGAAAAACAGGAGGAGGAGGAGGAGGAGGAGGAGGAGGAGCGAGAUGGAUGACCUGGAUGAGAAGCUGGGUCUUGGCCGAGGGAGAGAAGCCGGCGAUCUCGACGACGUUGCCAGCGUGGAGAGGGAUCCGGUGGAGCGGAGGAGGGAGCGAGAGCGACGGGCGCAACGCCUGGGCUCGGGCGAGCAUCUGCCUCGCGCUCUCGUCGCCGUUUAUCCAGCUCUUCGCUGCUGCUGCUGCUUCGCUCAUUUCUCGAAUUGUUUUAGCUCCCUCGCUCGCUGGCUUUUUCUCUACGGCUGCCGCUGAAGAGGAGAGAACCGAGAGGGAGUAGAAGUUUGAAAUUCUAGUCUCUCAACUUUGUGAUUAUAUCACUCUUGUCCGACUCCGCGCGUUCAGAAUGAUACAUCCAAUUAUAUUAAUGAGUAAUGCGAGAGUACUUGUUAACGAUGUCAUUUUCUCACUUACCUUCUUUUCGCUUUUGAAUUUUUGAGUUUGCAGAAAUUUCAAACUUAGCAAUUUUUGUGUUAGCUAGAUUAAAAGCGUGUAUUAUAACCAUUAUGUUUCUCUGUUUUUCAAUUCUUCUGUUUUUGAAAACAAAUUUGGAAUAAAAAUAUGUUUAAUAAGGUAAUUUCAUUUUUCUAUUUUUAAGAUAAAUUUUUAGCUUAGGAAUGAGUUUAAAAUAGACAUAGAAAUAAAACCUAUUCUCAUUACUUGCCCUCGCCAUUUUUGGUCACCUGCUCGCUGCUAGCCCCCCAUCGCCCAUCAAUGUGUGAUUUCUAUAUCAACGCCUUCAAUUCAAUUGAUUAAGGAUGUCUUAUCUCACCAAAGAGUAGAGCACAAUGAAUGGAAAAGAGCAUAGAAUAAGAUAUUUAAGAAGGUCCAUCAAAAACAAAUUUCUAUUCCAGGAAUAGAAAUUUUGUAUUAAACAUGCAUCUCUAUUUAAAAACUCAUUUAGGGAUAGAGGAAAUAGAAAUAAUAAAAAAAAUUCUAACAAAAAUUUAUUUUCGGAAACAUAAUGGUUAUCAUUCGACCCUAAACACCGAACUUUGAUGCGGUUAUAAAAUCUUUAGGCAAUAAUUUCAACCCAUCGUACUGAGUUGAUAAGGUUAAUUUUCUUUAUGGGCAGUCUUAAUGAAUUCAUUACACAGCUAUUUUUGGUCCACUGCUAUUCUUAGGUAUUCUUUAUUUAAUUCAAAAUCAAUAUAUCCCAAAAAUCCAUUGGUUGUUCUUUUAUUUAUGAAAAAUCAUCCAAAAAGCCCUAAACCUUUUACACUUUUACCAUUCAAUCAUAAAACAUUUUUAAUAUUGCCAAUUAAGUUCUAAAUCUAUAACACUACCAACAUCCACGUUUAUGAUUUUCGAUUAAAAUUGAUUAUAUAGACUCAAUUGGCAAAUUAUCAAAAGACUUAUGACUUUAUUUGUGUUAUUUUCCCGAAUAGAUUCUUCAUUGGUUGCAAACCGGUGGUACGGCCUUGUCGGCUCAGGAGCGUCACAAUUGGACCCUUGUUGGGCCGCGGCCAUUAGGAAAAAGGGGCUUGCACUUGCAGGCACAGCACCUUUGCUCUUGGCACUGGCCUGGAAAUGAAAAAAUAAGUCUAAUCGUUGGGGCCGAGGCCGAUUGGCCAACUUUAAAAGAAAAUCAUAAAAAUUUCUUAUAAAUUAGAAGUCUCUUCUUCUCCUUCUCACCUUCAUCCCUCUCGCAUAUCACCAAAAAAAAAAAGACUUUCUAAUAAAUUUCAACUUUGUAUAUAAGAUUCCCUCGUUAUUUACUAUAUAUGACCAGUUUGAACAAAAAAAUGCAUCCGAUUUGGGAGACCAACCAAGUAAAGAAGAGACGGAAAAUCUAAGAGACUAAAAGACUUUCAUGUAAUGUGCAAACAAUGUCAAAAAAGUUUUCAUCAAGAUCUAUAGGUUGUGUGGAACAUUUGUUGCUACACAAAUGGCAUCCUCGCCAUCAAAUGGGGUGGUGUACGUCCAACAAAAGUAGGUUGUGCAUAAACCCUAACCACUAGAUUGAGUAUAACCAUAAAAUAUCGUAUUCUGUUUUUGAUGUAUUGUGUACUCACCUUUUUUUAUUAAAAAAAAUUGAAAAUUUUAUUAUGCGUUGAUUUUUUGUGAUUCUCAUUGUGAACAUUAUGAUGAACUAAAUAAAAUUUAUGUUUCCACGAGUUUUUAUUAAAUUUUAAUUUAUUGAGAAAUUAUAAAUUAAAAGCAAAAGAAAAACAAGCCCAAGCAUAAUGUACUCAACUAUAAAGAAAGUUAUACCGAUGUUGUCAAUCAAGUAUUAGUCCGUAUCUAGUCAUACAACUUCAUUCACAAUACAUGAAUCCAAACUUCCCAUUACAAGCUGUCUCCUCCACAUUCAUGUAGAAAUGUAAAAAUUCUUCAACAUAUCACUGAUCUAUCUUUGCUACUCAUACCUAAAACUUCUGAGCUAAGCCUAUGAAAUAAACUAACUUUAAUUACAUUAGUGCAUGUGACUAGGCAAUAAACCUGAUGGGAUAUCAUAUAUAAUAUGAUUAUAUCAAUUCACUCGAUUGGUCAAUCACAUGUGUUAUAACACUAAUAGGUUUUUGAGUCUUUUGACUGCUUCUACAUAUGUCAUGGGGUGAUUUGUCAUGUUACAAAGUCAUUCAACUUCAAGUGCACCAUCAACCAUUUUAGGAUCUCGCUUCUUCAUUUUCAUGUCUCUCCAUCAUGAAUGCGAAUUUUUGAGAUAAACUUACCUAUGUGCACUUACACAUAUUUUCAUCUUUUUUGACGGUCAACUUCAAUUCAAGGACUCGAUAAGAAGAAGGGGAAAAAGCUAGUGUAGGGACCAAAAGUAGACUCUCUUUGCCUUUAAAAAAAAAAACCCAAAAAGACAUGCAAAACUUCUCACUUCCACUCAUGGGUUCAAGCUCUGCUAAAAGUGGGCCAAAAGGCCCGGCCCAUGAUACCCGACUGUGGGCCGGGGCCUAGACAACGCACAAAACCUAGCCUCAAAGGCCUGGGGUGAGAGGCCCAGACCCUUCGUCCGCUCGUGAAAGGGCACUUUAGCUUCAUAGGACUCCAAACAAGAGUACAAAAAAAAGGUGAAGUUCUUUGCCCAAAGGAUAAAUCGGAUCGUCCCUUUGGACAAUUUUUUAUUUUUAUGAAUGACCAUUUUUUCCUUAGUCUCUCGCUUUCGCUUAUCUCUUCAUCUCUUGUCCACUAACUUAAGCAUCAAAGUAUUCUCUUCAGGCCAAACCAACCUAGAAGGCUUCCUUUGCUUUUCAAGGUGUGCGGCUAGGUCAGGUCCUCUGGAGAGGGUAUAAUGUCACUGUGAUUCAAUUCAGGCUUGUAGCAGGCUGAAUCCAAUAGAAAAAUAAGUUAUUUACUUAUACAAGAAGAAGAACCUCAUCGCAAUUUACCAUGAUUUCUAGACCCAUAAUACAUAUGCUUCAACUUAUCAAGCAUGAGUGUAAUGAAUGAGUAUAGAUUCAAUUGAUUUGUGUCGAGUCCACCAUCAGCAGAAGAAGGAAGCAACUUUUCUUUUUCUCCUGAUUCCAUUAGCUGAUUCUUGCAUUUUGACUCGGAUGGGAUGUCGGCAGGUCAGCCUGGGCCUACCCAAAGAAUCAUUACUAGGAUGUGAACGCGAUCAAGGAUAAAAAUGAUGGCUUCUGGUUGAAAGAGAAUGUUCACGCAUGCUAACGUGCCACCACUUCUGACUUUCUUUCAUGGGAUAUAUUCAAACAAGUAUAGUUUUAUACCUACUCCGUUAUCAAAGAGAGGUUUAUAACAUAAAUGACAACUUCGCAAGAAUCCUCCUCUUUGGCUGUGCCUGCGAAAAUCACCAUCUGUUGGUCAAAAAGCAGCUACCUGCAGAGCAAAAUGGAAACCAUGUCGAGCAAGAUCAAGGGAAAAUCUAAAUUCAUUGGACGGAAGGAUGAUCUUAAAAAAACAAAAUUUGAAAGUAAGUUACGCCUUGUAGCAAUAUCACAUCACAUUAAUGCUAGUAGUUCACGAUCAGUUCUGAAAAAAAUGUGUAUGUACAUACGUACACCAACUGAUUUGGUAUUAACAAUGAGGACAAACUCUGCCUGUCGUUUUGUUGGUUGUGGCAGGAGUUCGACAAAUUAACUUCGUUUUAGGCCACAACGUUACCAACUUUCAUGCUAUAUUAUUAGUUUUCUAGUGUUAUUUGUCAUCGUCUAUAUGGAUCCGUUUGCGGUGUUUAUAAGAUAACGAUAGCCUAUACCGUAAGAUUUAUUCUAAUGCCUUCUCAUGAAGUCUGAAAGUGUCACGCAUUUCAACAAACUAGAAUGAGGCUAAACUAGCAAUAGAUUGAGUAUAAUACAAAUGCACAAUUCAUUAUCACGUAAGACAUAUAUGAAAGUAGGCAUGAAAGACAACGAAAAGUGAUAAAUUGUGCAUAUAUGAAAUGCACAAUUCAAUGAGCACGAUCGCUGUUUCUUGUUGUUGAAAGAUAGAUAUCUAAAAAUCUUAAGGCAGUAUGUCAAUCAAUAUUGGAUAGGUGGGUUGAAUUUGAACAUUAUUAAUGUCCCAUUUUAUCAAGGUAGCUAACAUGAUUUUCCCAGUGGACCCAGUUUCACGGUGGGAUCAACUCUAUAUUCUUGUUUUUUUCAAGGGAAUUACUCCACCCACAUGCUAAAAAAAUUAACAUGAAUACAUUUAAAUAUAUUUUAUAACAUGGCAAUAGUUUAUAUAAAUUCAAAAAAAUUACCCAAUCAGUGCUAACUUAGUGCUAAACUUUCCAAUUUGGAAAUGUAAUCCUAAAUUUUUUCAUACUUUUUCAAUUUUAGUCCACAUGGAAUUAACUAGAUAUUUUUAAUAUAGCAGACCAAUCAUCUUUGACCAUCUUACGUGUCAUGAUUGAAGAUCUAACCUGAAACAUCUUUACUCAAAAUGAUUAUAGUAAUCUUCUGAAUUUUUCAUUUCUUUUCUUACUUUUAUCUUUUACUGUUCAUCUUCAACUUUAGAACAUUGAAACCUAGAUGUAGCCUUGGAAUUUUCUUUUAAUGUUCAUCGACCGCUUUCAAAACCAGAACACUGAAACCCGUAUCAAUGGAAGUCUCAUUGGUUUUCUUCCAGUGAUGAGGGUAUGCUCUCUGGUACUGUCAAAAAGCUUUCUCAAGUAACAUGUUCGAAAGGGCGGAUUGCUAUUCAUCUUCAAUGAGAGGGGAUUUCAAGGCGAAAACACUUCAGGAUUACUUGAAUGGAAAAACAAAGAAAAUCCAAGCCCUAAUUCCAGCAUAAUCUUCUACACGAAGUUCAAAUUUGAGUUUGGGAUUUUAUUUUAUUUUAUUUUAUUUUAUUUUAUUUUAUUUUUUUGCUGUUUUCGACGGCUACCCAUCACACCUGGUCGCCCUCCAAGCUCUUAAGCAGGCCACCUCUCCAACCCCAACAACUUCAUUGCCAACUAGGUUAGCCCCUCCGGCUGUGACUAGUCUUGCGUCUUCUGCUCCCCCACCCUGAAGACCCUAGUGUCCACACCGUCGCCGGCAUCAACCCUAGCCAUGGCGACAUUGCUGGUUAGCUCUGGGGGAGCUUGGCCUACUGGCUGACCUCACCCUCUUCCACCUCAAUUCUAACCUGUUGAAAAUUUGAAUGUGUGCGGGUGGAAGCAAGUGAUAGUUUUUGUGGUGGACAAGGGACAAGCUAGAAUAGUUGAAGAAUAUAGGUCAUGGGAUAUGGAGAAAACAAUUUCAUUAGAUGGACAAAACUAAUUCUGAUGGAGGUGGUGGUGGUGGUGGAGGAGUAUAAGGACAUGGAGUUUAUAAGCUCACUCCCCACACAUUAC
rnacentral:lncRNA from 1 species